rnacentral:rRNA from 1 species
GAUGAACGCUGGCGGCGUGCCUAAUACAUGCAAGUCGAGCGAAUGGAUUGAGAGCUUGCUCUUAUGAAGUUAGCGGCGGACGGGUGAGUAACACGUGGGUAACCUGCCCAUAAGACUGGGAUAACUCCGGGAAACCGGGGCUAAUACCGGAUAACAUUUUGAACCGCAUGGUUCGAAAUUGAAAGGCGGCUUCGGCUGUCACUUAUGGAUGGACCAGCGUCGCAUUAGCUAGUUGGUGAGGUAACGGCUCACCAAGGCAACGAUGCGUAGCCGACCUGAGAGGGUGAUCGGCCACGCUGGGACUGAGACACGGCCCGGACUCCUACGGGAGGCAGCAGUAGGGAAUCUUCCGCAAUGGACGAAAGUCUGACGGAGCAACGCCGCGUGAGUGAUGAAGGCUUUCGGGUCGUAAAACUCUGUUGUUAGGGAAGAACAAGUGCUAGUUGAAUAAGCUGGCACCUUGACGGUACCUAACCAGAAAGCCACGGCUAACUGCGUGCCAGCCGCCGCCGUAA